UGACGAGUCCCAAAUAGGACGAAACCCGCGUC
rnacentral:hammerhead_ribozyme from 1 species